rnacentral:lncRNA from 1 species
CCGAGUCUAGUGUGAUUGAUGAUUUACUGUUAUUUGGUCUGUUUUACACUGUUUUACAGCUUUAAAUGCAUUAUGGGGUUUGAUGUGUUCAUUUUACAGAUUUGUGUGCAUAUACUACGUUUUUUAUUAAUUAUGGGUUGAAUGACUGAAAAACUGAUAUUGUAUGUUGUCUGUUGGUAUGAAUUACGAUUUGCUUGUUUAAAUGUGAAUUGAUGAUGUUGAUUGAGGAAAAGGAAAAUGAAAGAUUGUAUAGACUGAUAAUUGUAUUAUGGGGGUCAGCCUGACUAGAUAUCCUGGGAGAUGGUGGACGGACCGGGUCCGUAGGGAACCCUACCGAGAUUGUGGUCUCACAUGCCGGACGGGGUAUGGAGAUCUUAUGGUUUUGGCGCCCAUACCGGACGGGGUAUGGGGACGGCCCGUUUCACCCUCAUACCGGACGGGGUAUUGAGGUUUAUGGUUUUGGCGCCCAUACCGGACGGGGUAUGGGGACGGCCCGUUUCACCCUCAUACCGGACGGGGUAUUGAGGUUUAUGGUUUUGGCGCCCAUACCGGACGGGGUAUGAGGACGGCCCGUUUCACCCUCAUACCGGACGGGGUAUUGAGGUUCAUGGUUUUGGCGCCCAUACCGGACGGGGUAUGGGGACGGCCCUGGAAACUGAUUAUGAAUGUUAAAGGUUAACGGGUAGCGGAACCCCUAUGGACCCCCACGGAUACUAGUAGGCUGGUAAAUGAGAGAAAGGGAUAUGUUGUACAAUGAUUGAAUUACAAGAGGCGUGAUAAGUGUUAUGUUUUACAGCUUAGAUUAUUAAAUGAUUAUGAUGAUGUUAUUGUUUUUCUCAUAUUGUUUUCAUAAAUUCCACCAAGGUAAGUGGAUGGUAAAGGUUUUCAUGUUAAUAAACGAGUUUAUUGUAAAUUGUGCUCCAUUGGUCUUUUUGUGGUUUUCUACCCACCUUUAUUUCCGUGACGGUGAGAUAUCGUGAUGUUCUUACUGGGCUAGUGUAGCUCACUCCUUAAUUAACCAUUUCAGAUCAGGAAGACAUGGUUC